UGGGGAAUCUUGCACAAUGGGGGCAACCCUGAUGCAGCGACGCCGCGUGAGCGAUGAAGCCCUUCGGGGCGUAAAGCUCUUUCGACCGGAACGAUAAUGACGGUACCGGGAGAAGAAGCUUCGGCUAACUACGUGCCAGCAGCCGCGGUAAUACGUAGGCAGCAAGCGUUGUUCGGAGUUACUGGGCGUAAAGAGUGCGUAGGCGGUUUUCUAAGUUCGGUGUGAAAUCUCCCGGCUUAACUGGGAGGGUGCGCCGAAGACUGGGAAGCUGGAGUGUGGGAAAGGCAGGCGGAAUUCCUGGUGUAGCGGUGAAAUGCGUAGAUAUCAGGAGGAACACCGGCGGUGUAGACGGCUUGCUAGACCAUAACUGACGCUGAGGCACGAAAGCGUGGGUAGCAAACA
rnacentral:rRNA from 1 species